UACGUAGGGGGCUAGCGUUGUCCGGAAUCAUUGGGCGUAAAGCGCGCGUAGGCGGCCCGGUAAGUCCGCUGUAAAAGUCCAGGCUCAACCCUGGAACGCCGGUGGAUACUGUCGGGCUAGAGUCCGGAAGAGGCGAGUGGAAUUCCUGGUGUAGCGGUGGAAUGCGCAGAUAUCAGGAGGAACACCGAUGGCGAAGGCAGCUCGCUGGGACGGUACUGACGCUGAGGCGCGAAAGCGUGGGGAGCGAACAGG
rnacentral:rRNA from 1 species